rnacentral:rRNA from 1 species
UGGGGAAUUUUGCACAAUGGGGGAAACCCUGAUGCAGCGACGCCGCGUGAUUUAGAAGGCCUUCGGGUUGUAAAAAUCUUUUCUAUGGGAAGAAAAUGACAGUACCAUAGGAAUAAGGACCGGCUAAUUACGUGCCAGCAGCCGCGGUAAUACGUAAGGUCCGAGCGUUGUCCGGGAUCAUUGGGCGUAAAGGGUACGUAGGCGGGUAAGCAAGUUAGAAGUGAAAUCCUAUAGCUCAACUAUAGUAAGCUUUUAAAACUGCUCAUCUUGAGGUAUGGAAGGGAAAGUGGAAUUCCUAGUGUAGCGGUGAAAUGCGCAGAUAUUAGGAGGAAUACCGGUGGCGAAGGCGACUUUCUGGCCAUAACCUGACGCUGAGGUACGAAAGCGUGGGUAGCAAACAGG